UAAUGUCUUCUAAGAAAAAGAUGGUGUACCUUGAUACGAUUAGGCCAUGGGAAACAACUUGAUUGAUCGAAGCCAAAGUAAGUGAAAGUAAUCCACACCUGGAAGCAAACAAAUCCGUCUUAGAUCAUUUUCACUGACAAGAAGGUAAACUGAACAAAUACAUAGUCAUUUUAAUUCUAUUGUUUUUGAACUUUUGGAAAAGUUCAUGUCAUCAUUGAAGAACCAAAUUGUUAUCUCUGUCCUGUUCAACUUUUUCCUAAUUAUAGACUUAAUUUUUUAUUUAUAGGUCGUUUUAAUAACAAUCAAGAUUUCUUAUUUUCAAUAUUCAUUUAAAGAGUAGUACUAUAAAAAAUGCAAUCACUCAAUCAAACACACACGCAAUCAAUCUCCAACUUUCUUUUCUAACUACCAUUCUCAAUUCGAAUCCUAAUUACUUGAAUGUUGAUAUUUUAAAAUUUACCUACUUGGAAACGUAUUGCAGAAUGUCCACUGUCCCCAUGACCUUCACAUGAACAAAGCGCUGGCUCUAUUAUGACACUGCACGGCAUGCACUUCAAUUGUAUACAUUAAUACGACAACUCAGUCAAAUAUACAACAAUCUAGACUUUUAAACUAUAAUCCAAGACUUAUCUGUAUACUGGUUCGAAAGUUUGGUUUGACUUUGCUUCAUCAUCAUACAGCAUAUAGACUCUCUUCUGUAAAAUUAAGAGAAAACAUUAGUCAACAGUUUAGAUUUUACAAAUACUAAAUAUAAUAUAGUCACUGUAUGCGUUGAAAUUUAUGUCAUCUAAUAAAAACUUAUCUUUUUCUCAGGUUUGAGGUUUUUGUGAUUAAGGUUAGAGUCACAUUAAUAAAGUUCUGCCACUAUUCUCUGCCACUGCAAGACCUGCACAUGAAUCGUAAACAUUAAUAAGGCAACAAAUAAAAUUCUAGAACAUCCUAGA
rnacentral:lncRNA from 1 species